CCGCGAGGGGGCGCGGGCGGUCGCUGCCCCUCAGCACCUCAGCAGUUCCCGCCUCAGCGCCUCAGCGCUCCCCGCCUCAGCAGUUCCCGCCUCAGCGCCCACCUCAGCGUCCCCGUGCCCAUUUCAGCGUCCCUGUGUCUGCCUCAGCAAUUCCCGCCUCAGCCUCUCGCUGCCUUCAGCUCACCUUAGAGCCCCUCAGGCCCCCGCAGGUCAGCAGCAGGGAACUUUGACAGAGGAGUGGAAGUAAGAUCAUCAAGACGAUGUGUUCAUCUGAAAAGACUGUGCCUCCUGGAGUCAUGUCUUCUCUCUGUGUUGCAUGAGUGCAGCUUCUCCCCAAGUCCUUCUUCUGUGUCUCUGCUGGCUGCAUGGUGGAGUCCUGGGAUUGCCUUGACUGGGCUGCCUGUCUGCCUACCACAGCUCCGCUGCCUGUAAGCCAUUUGUAGGUUUCUUUUGCUUCUGGGAAUGGUAAUAACACAGUUAUAAUUGUUGCUUCUGUUCUCAAAGCUUGGGCAGCUCAGAUGUCUGGGCCUGUUGAGAAGUACUGCUAUAAAUGAAUGGAAGGAGGGAUAAAUAUGCACUGGUUAAAAACAAGUGUUUUACUGUAAUCUUCCUAGAACUGUACUGGGCCUCUCUCUGCAGAGUAUAACUGUUACCUCCCUGUACCCCCAAGUAUCGUGGUCCUGCGAGGAGCACCAACAGCUUUGUGACAUGUCGUGGUAAUUGUCAGCCAGAAUUGACGUCCUCAAGUCAGUGCCUCACAGCUUCUGUCUCAUUCAGUCUCAGCUAAUGAGACAUGUCUUUUCUGGUACACUAGCAUGAUCUGCAGGGAUAUUUUGAGUUAGUUAUAUGAUAAUAAUCCAGAAAAAUAUCCCCAGAGGUGCUGCUCCUUCCCCAGCUGCAAAGUGCAAAUGUAAAUAUCCCUAAUAUUUGGGCAUACCUGGAUCAAGCUGCCUGGGACACAGUGUCCCUCGCCCUGGCUACCCUACAGAGGAUGUGCUGAGAUUUGAGAGCUCAUUUCUGCACUCCUGGCCUUACUGGUGGGCUCAGAUUUGCAUGAUGGUCAGAACUGGAAACUCCCAGGAUGAAGUCAAAUCAGUUGCAAAUCUCACCCUGUGGUGUCCCACUGCACCACAGCAGGCAGAGGCUUGUAAACAAUUGAUUAUAUAUACACUUACUAAUGAGGUAGCUUGUGUACUUAGUCUAAAAUUACCAUUUGGGUCCCAGAGAAAAGAUUAAAUAACUGAUUCUGAGUGAGGAGAAGCUGGCUGAGACUUCAUGGAGAUCAUUUUCCUUUUGGAAUAACUGGGAUGCUCUGUUGAGAGUUGCUGAAGGAGAGGAAACAGAGAUGCUAUUUUCUUCCUUUGCUUCCAUAAGUCACACACUUCAGUGAACCCAGCCUAAUGGCUUCAAUAAGUCUCUCCAAUAAGACUCUACAUUUAAACAAGUCAUACUUGCUGAGUCCAGAGAUCACAGAUCCUGAAAGGCAAGUUGUCUGGAACCAAAAAAAAUCUCUCAAAGUUGGCAGCACUUAGAAACAAAACUUAGUGUAAGUGAGCACAAAUGAGCCAAAUUUGUGAUCGGAUCUGUAUCUGGGCUUUCCUUCAGCUGGGGUACGCCUUAACCUGCCUGCCCAGGGCUCAUGGUGUAGGUCUCCUAGAAAACAGAGUCAAGUUCUGUGGUGAUCCUGGCGCUUUGCAGGGCCCGUGCAGAGAAGAAUGGAACUGAUCAUCUAGUGCUCCACCAUCCUGUCCUCAGAAGAAACGUGCUCUGUGUUACUGCAUGUAGGGUUAAUGAAAAAGGACAGAGCAAAUGACCAUCAGCGUAUUAGAAAUUUCCACUUUCCUCCUGCUCAUUUUGACUACCUUCAUCUAUUACUUUCGUGCUGUUAACGUACUUUCCUUUUUAGAAGAGCUUAGAAGAUCCAAAAAUUCUCAGUUAUUCAUGUCUUUCUUCCACUGCUUGCUAUUUCUGCCCAUGUUAGGAAAUUCUGCAAGCCAUUGCAUCAUCUCUUCUUCCUGCUAAUUGUCUUUGCUGCCUGCCCUGGCAAGGCUGUGCUCGCCGUACUCAGACAGCGCGGUGUGGCAGCGUGUUGCGGGACAAGCUCUGCUUCCGGCCUCUCUACUCAGUUCCUGCCAACUUUAUUGAUUUUCUUUUAUACCCAGAGUACACUUCAGCAAAGGAUUACAAAAUGCUUUAAGGACAUUAAUUAUGCUUGCCACAGAAAUACCAGCUGUGCAGAGCACGUUUCUAGAUGGCUUUGAAUGGAUUUAAAACCGGUUCUGCUCAGUCCCAGCUAAACAGAGCACCACCAACACAAAGGGGCUACUUUUGCUCCCUUAAGUUUUUCUCUUUAUGAGCUCUUUUUAACUAGGCCAAAUGUUUUACAGCUUGGUCACAACAGCAAAACACCCUUCAGUCUAAAACCCACUUCCAGGCACCUUAAUAACAUUCCAGAGGUGCAGUUUAUUUCCUCCAUUCCUGACAAAUGGCUCUGGCCAAUUUUCUAGCUGCAGGUUGUUCCAAGGUUUUAGAAUAAUUAUUUCUAUUAUCGAGCAGAGCUGUUAAGCACAUACUCUCCAAUCACAGCUGUCUGCAUCCAUCUAAUGUUUGCAGAUACAGAAAUGUUAGUAACUGCUUAGUUCUUGGUUUGCUGUCUCUCAUGGAGAGGGCUGCUGCUUCCUCAGGACAAACAUUCCAGCAGAGUGCAGAACAGAGCUGAGCUGAUUAGUGACUGCAUUUAGAAGGAGCAUGUGUUUGUGAAUCAGAAGGCUCCCUGGCAGAAAACUUCAUGUCUUUGCUGUUCAUCUCUGCAUUCAAGUUGAAAUGGAAUGUUUUAGGGGGUACAGAACUCACCGAUUUUUCCUUCAGCUAGACAGUGUAUGGGAAGCUGUGUCUUAAUACAUGUAGUUAGGGGGAAAAAAUAAUAGCUUCAAUUUGGGGCAAUAUUUCUGUGAAAAAUAUUGCAUCAAAUGAGAAAGUCAUUAAGUAGCAUGGUGACACAUAUGCUAUUUCCUUGCCAGCAGGGUUUAGUUCCUGAGGAAGUUCCGUUCCAUUGGCUUUGUUCUGUAGUUGUCUUGGGAAACUGGAAAGUUGAUUUAUGAUGUUUGGAAAUAGUGUUUGGGGAAAAUCUUCCUGGAAAGUAGGCCUGAGUGUCUGGGCUGAGUAUUCCAGAAGAGAAGAUUGCUUGCUUGCUAUAGGGCAUUGUCUCUUUUCUUUUGUACAUGUGCAAAUACAGUAAGUUGCACUGAAAAUGGGCUGAAAUACAAUAUUACUUUCUUUCACUAUGAGCCUGAAGUAUGUGUGUUGUCACUUGUUUUGUAGCAAUACAGAUGCAGUGGAAUGCAGAUAUUUAUGGGGUUAGUUGGGUUUUUUUUUUUGUUUUUCUUUUUCGGCUUAAGGCCUGCUGGGCUGUGCUCAGUAAGAGUUCUUUCUGCUUUGUCAGAGACUUUUUGUAUUUCACCCAAGAAAACGAGGACAUGAUCAGAAAAUAAAUCUGCCAGUAAGACCACAUUGUUGAAGCAGAAAAGUGCUUUGUAUUUCCAAGGCAUCCUAGUCUCUUAAAAUGCCAACAGCAUGCCCAAGAAUGAAAGGAUUGAUUUCUUUAUAGUUAUUGUAUGUAAUAGCUAGGCUGGUGGAAGCCAAGUAGGCCAUCUGUCGUGUUCCACACAAAAAUAAAAAGAUGCUUGAUCAAGUGAGGUUGGAUGGAACCAUCGAAAAGAUGCCUUCUCUGCAUAGCAGACUUGCCAGCUUCUGUGAUAGGAUGACUUAUGUUCUGAUGAGCUUUUGCCAUAUCCCAGUAUGCACUGAAUUCAUGAAAAACAAUUCUCAUCACUCCCAUUUUCCAGUUUCAUAUGUGCUCCCUGGAGUUCUUCACACUCCAUCAUAGUACCAGUGCUGGUGCAGCUGCAGGGGUCCACUCUUUCUAAGCCAGCCAGUACAGGGAUCAGGAGAGCAUGGAAACAGUUUACCUGCUUGCUGGAGUAAGAUGGACAACAGUCCUGCUCAGAUGCAAGGCUUCUUCUCACUGUCUGCUGCCCACCCUAACGAGGAUGAAAUUGGCCUUCUAGGAAGUGCUGGCUGCACUUCCAUUGGGCUUGCUGACACACGGUUAGAGGGCAGUUACUUCUCAUCCCUAAGCAAAUGCUUUUUGCACUCCCAAAGGAUCUGCAGCCCUUUGCAUGUCUGUCACUACAGAGGACCCAGCAUAGCUGCCACUGACGUAGCUUGGUUAAUUUUUAACAAGCUGUUGGCCACAUGAUUUAAAAGAAUGUGGGUCUUGUUCAUUGCAAAUCUGCCAUACGUUGUAUGCAUUAUAUAAUAUUUGGUUGUGACAAUAAAGAGGCUUAGCAGUACUCUGGAAGGGUAUGGGAGUAAAAACCCACAUUCAACUUCUGCAUUUGUACAGCCUGUAGCAACCCUGGCUGUGUGGUGCAGUCAGAACUCCCUUUCCUGCAUUCAGCACAGUGCACGAGCACACAGCACGUUACAUCACCGUACGCUUUUGACCUGGUCUAAUUCAAGGGCUGAUCAAGCCACGGUUCCCCAUACUAGAUUUUUACUGAGAU